UUGUCUCAAAGAUUAAGCCAUGCAUGUCUCAGUACAAGCCACAUUAAGGUGAAACCGCGAAAGGCUCAUUAAAUCAGUUAUGGUUCCUUAGAUCGUACCCACAUUUACUUGGAUAACUGUGGUAAUUCUAGAGCUAAUACAUGCAAACAGAGCUCCGACCGGAGACGGGAGGAGUGCUUUUAUUAGAUCAAAACCAAUCGGCGGCGGGCCCGUUCGCGCGGGUCCUACCGUCGUACUGGCUGGUGACUCUGAAUAACUUGACGCUGAUCGCACGGUCUCGCACCGGCGACGCAUCUUUCAAAUGUCAGCCUUAUCAACUGUCGAUGGUAGGUUCUGCGCCUACCAUGGUUGUAACGGGUAACGGGGAAUCAGGGUUCGAUUCCGGAGAGGGAGCCUGAGAAACGGCUACCACAUCCAAGGAAGGCAGCAGGCGCGCAAAUUACCCACUCCCGGCACGGGGAGGUAGUGACGAAAAAUAACGAUACGAGACUCAUCCGAGGCUUCGUAAUCGGAAUGAGUACACUUUAAAUCCUUUAACGAGGAUCAAUUGGAGGGCAAGUCUGGUGCCAGCAGCCGCGGUAAUUCCAGCUCCAAUAGCGUAUAUUAAAGUUGUUGCGGUUAAAAAGCUCGUAGUUGAAUCUGUGUCCCGCGCUGUCGGUUCACCGCCCGCGGUGUUCAACUGGCACGUCCGCGGGACGUCCUGCCGGUGGGUCGCGCGCGCGUCGUGCGCACACCGUUGUCCGCGGCCGCCGUUUAGGCGGUGCGUUCGCGGCGGCGUUACUGCCUCGGCGUUAGCGCGCGCCCGACUUUAAUGAAUCCCGCCGCGGUGCUCUUCACUGAGUGUCGAGGUGGGCCGGCACGUUUACUUUGAACAAAUUAGAGUGCUCAAAGCAGGCUAAAACUUCGCCUGAAUACUGUGUGCAUGGAAUAAUGGAACAGGACCUCGGUUCUAUUUUGUUGGUUUUCGGAAUCCGAGGUAAUGAUUAAUAGGGACAGAUGGGGGCAUUCGUAUUGCGACGUUAGAGGUGAAAUUCUUGGAUCGUCGCAAGACGGACAGAAGCGAAAGCAUUUGCCAAAAAUGUUUUCAUUAAUCAAGAACGAAAGUCAGAGGUUCGAAGGCGAUCAGAUACCGCCCUAGUUCUGACCAUAAACGAUGCCAGCUAGCGAUCCGCCGACGUUCCUCCGAUGACUCGGCGGGCAGCUUCCGGGAAACCAAAGCUUUUGGGUUCCGGGGGAAGUAUGGUUGCAAAGCUGAAACUUAAAGGAAUUGACGGAAGGGCACCACCAGGAGUGGAGCCUGCGGCUUAAUUUGACUCAACACGGGAAACCUCACCAGGCCCGGACACCGGAAGGAUUGACAGAUUGAGAGCUCUUUCUUGAUUCGGUGGGUGGUGGUGCAUGGCCGUUCUUAGUUGGUGGAGCGAUUUGUCUGGUUAAUUCCGAUAACGAACGAGACUCUAGCCUGCUAAAUAGGCGUACCUGACCGGUAUCUGGAAGGCUCGCGUCGCGCGUGUUCGCGCUGCGGGUUCGCGUUCGCGCGUCCCGCACGUGACCGUGCGUUCGCGGUUUUUACUACCGGCGUACACAUAAUUCUUCUUAGAGGGACAGGCGGCUCCUAGCCGCACGAGAUUGAGCAAUAACAGGUCUGUGAUGCCCUUAGAUGUUCUGGGCCGCACGCGCGCUACACUGAAGGGGUCAGCGUGUCCUCCCUUGGCCGAGCGGCCCGGGUAACCCGCUGAACUCCCUUCGUGCUAGGGAUUGGGGCUUGCAAUUGUUCCCCAUGAACGAGGAAUUCCCAGUAAGCGCGAGUCAUAAGCUCGCGUUGAUUACGUCCCUGCCCUUUGUACACACCGCCCGUCGCUACUACCGAUUGAAUGAUUUAGUGAGGUCUUCGGACCGGUACGCGGCGGCGUUUCGACGUCGCCGAUGUCGCUGGGAAGAUGACCAAACUUGAUCAUUU
rnacentral:rRNA from 1 species